GGAAGCGGAAGUGGGGCGGCCUCGGCGGGGGAGGGCCUCGGGCCGGCCGGGCCGGGCAGCCCCGCGAGGCGCGUCCCUGGCGCUCCCCCUCCCGCCCGUCCCCCGCCAUGCCCCGAUACUGCGCAGCCUCCUGCUGCAAGAACCGGGGCGGCCAGAGCGCCAGGGACCAGCGCAAGCUCAGCUUCUACCCGUUUCCGCUUCAUGAUAAAGAAAGGCUUGAGAAAUGGUUGCGGAAUAUGAAGCGUGAUGCAUGGACUCCCAGUAAGCAUCAGCUCCUGUGCAGUGACCACUUUACCCCUGACUCCCUCGAUGUGCGAUGGGGUAUACGAUACUUGAAACAAACUGCAGUACCGACUAUUUUCUCUUCACCAGAUGAUCAGG